rnacentral:lncRNA from 1 species
UGAAGAAGACAAACGUGAAGCGAUUGGAAUGGACUUGAGGAUUCAAGUUUUGGAAUCCACAUCUAACGAUAAGAAAUUAUUUUCAAGGAACUAAGGUAUCUUAUAUAAUUUGGCAAUAAAUAUUUUCGAGUUUUAAAAGUAUUGUAAAGUUUCAACCUGAUCCAUGGCGAAAUGCGCAUCCCACCUUUUUUGCUUGGUACACACUCUCUAUCUCUUUGGCCUCUUCAACAUACAUUCCGUUUGUUUGCCUACUGUAUUUCUUUAGAUAAUUUUCGUUUCUUUGGUGAAUCCCUAAGGUACCCAGAGAAGGUCGGCCGGGGGAAACGUAAAUAUAGUUUUUUCAUUUUCUCAAAUUUUCUGUCCAAAAUGUUGGCUCGAGGAUUGAAAUUAGCUGACGAGUUCUGUUUCUAAUGCAUUUUUACAAACUGAAUUGAACUUCUAGCUGGAAAUUUGGGUGAUUAAUGUAUGUGGUUUAAUGGACCAAAAUUCGCAUGUUACACUGUACAACUGGCGUCUAUUAGUUGUUGAAACCCAUUAGGAGUUUGCUCAAACAAAUUGCCUGAUUUUUUCAUUUUUCAUUUUUAUUAUUUGUAGGGGAAGGGGAAGGGGAAGGGGAGACAAGGAGGAAAGAAUAGAGUAAUGGAAGUGUUCUUUAAUGUUUCAGAAAAUAAUCUUUAAGACUAAGUAAUGUACAAUUCAUUUGGUGAGAUGUCACUUUAAAACAAUGUCGCACUUCUUCUGUUUGAGGGAAAAUGCUAAGGACUCUGAAACUUUCUAUUGCUUGGAUAAAUUCAUUUGUUUUAAAGAUUAUCAUAAUUUUCCUAUGUAAUUUCUGUAUUUAUCACUGUUGAGUAUGCCAUUAACUAUUACUUGGUGCCAAUUUUCUGCCGUGUAUAUGUAUUUCUGCCGACCUUUUAGAAAUUAGUGAUUUAGCUGGUACUUUAAUUCAUAGAUUGUGAUAGAGGUUUCACUGUAAUUUUCCAUUUUUUACAAUUUGUUCCAUAUUGUAUAGUUUCCAC